rnacentral:rRNA from 1 species
UACGUAGGGGCCGAGCGUUGUCCGGAGUUAUUGGGCGUAAAGCGCGCGCAGGCGGCUUCGCGCGCCCGCCGUGAAAGCCCCCGGCUUAACCGGGGAGAGUCGGUGGGGACGGCGGAGCUUGAGGGCGGGAGAGGUCGGUGGAAUUCCCGGUGUAGCGGUGGAAUGCGCAGAUAUCAGGAGGAACACCGGUGGCGAAGGCGGGUCUCUGGGCCGUAGCUGACGCUGGAGGAGCGAAAGCAUGGGGAGCGAACAGG